rnacentral:rRNA from 1 species
UGCCAGCCGCCGCGGUAAUACGUAGGGAGCGAACGUUAUCCGGAAUUAUUGGGCGUAAAGCGUGCGUAGGCGGUUCGUUAAGUCAAAUCUGAAAGCCCACAGCUUAACUGUGGAGGGUGAUUUGAAACUGGCGAGCUUGAGUAGGUUAUAGGUAAUUGGAAUUUUUAGUGAAGCGGUAAAAUGCGUAGAUAUUAAAAGGAACAUCAAAAGCGAAAGCAAAUUACUGGGACCUUACUAACACUUAGAGACGAAAGCUAAGGUAGCAAAUGGGAUUAGAUA